rnacentral:rRNA from 1 species
AUGGUGGAAGGCUCGGAGACCGACAUCUCGAAUCUGAAGUUCCUCCUCUUCUGCUUCCAACAAAUGUCUGGCCUCAAGAUCAACUUCGACAAGAGCGAUGUGAUGGUGAUGGGCUACUCCCCGGAUGAAUGCCUGGGCAUCGCCAACCAGCUUAACGGCCGCUUGGGCACCUUCCCCACGAACUACCUGGGGACUCCCAUCAGUGACUCUAGGUCCACCGUGGCUGACUUGCGCUCGACCGUGGCAAAGUUGCAGACGCGUAUUGAGCCCUGGCAGGGGAGGUGGCUAUCUAAGGCGGCCCGAACGAUUCUCAUAAACUCAUCCCUAUCCAGUCUCCUCAUGUUCCCCACGAGCUUCUAUAGCCUGCACGAAACUCUGCAUCAUGAGAUCGCCAAAAUCCAGUCUCGUUUCUACUGGGCGGGCGACAACAAUAAACAGAAAUACCAUAUGGUCAGCUGGCCGAACAUAUGCAAGCCUUGGGAGCAAGGGGGCCUUGGGAUCAUGUGCUCUAAGCGCAUGAACAUCACCCUAUUAUCCCGCUGGCUUUGGCAGAUUGCUCAAGGGCGAGGCAACCUCUGGUUAGACAUUAUCCAGAACAAAUACCUUCGUGGGCAGCCUCUCGCCUUCUGCCAGAGAACUACGGCUCCCAGUUCUGGCAGUCAGUCAUCCAGCUGCUCCGGUGCUUCGCAUCAGGACAUCCAUCUCGGUUGGCUCUGGGGCUGCGACUCUGUUCUGGUUUGA